GGGUUGUGAGGUUAAGCGACUAAGCGUACACGGUGGAUGCCCUGGCAGUCAGAGGCGAUGAAGGGCGUGCUAAUCUGCGAUAAGCGCCGGUAAGGUGAUAUGAACCGUUAUAACCGGCGAUACCCGAAUGGGGAAACCCAGUGUGACUCGUCACACUAUCAUUAACUGAAUCCAUAGGUUAAUGAGGCGAACCGGGGGAACUGAAACAUCUAAGUACCCCGAGGAAAAGAAAUCAACCGAGAUUCCCCCAGUAGCGGCGAGCGAACGGGGAGGAGCCCAGAGCCUGAAUCAGCAUGUGUGUUAGUGGAAGCGUCUGGAAAGGCGCGCGAUACAGGGUGACAGCCCCGUACACAAAAGCGCAUGUGCUGUGAGCUCGAUGAGUAGGGCGGGACACGUGGUAUCCUGUCUGAAUAUGGGGGGACCAUCCUCCAAGGCUAAAUACUCCUGACUGACCGAUAGUGAACCAGUACCGUGAGGGAAAGGCGAAAAGAACCCCGGCGAGGGGAGUGAAAAAGAACCUGAAACCGUGUACGUACAAGCAGUGGGAGCACAGGUUUACCUGUGUGACUGCGUACCUUUUGUAUAAUGGGUCAGCGACUUAUAUUCUGUAGCAAGGUUAACCGUAUAGGGGAGCCGAAGGGAAACCGAGUCUUAACCGGGCGUUAAGUUGCAGGGUAUAGACCCGAAACCCGGUGAUCUAGCCAUGGGCAGGUUGAAGGUUGGGUAACACUAACUGGAGGACCGAACCGACUAAUGUUGAAAAAUUAGCGGAUGACCUGUGGCUGGGGGUGAAAGGCCAAUCAAACCGGGAGAUAGCUGGUUCUCCCCGAAAGCUAUUUAGGUAGCGCCUCGUGAAUUCAUCUCCGGGGGUAGAGCACUGUUUCGGCUAGGGGGCCAUCCCGGCUUACCAACCCGAUGCAAACUGCGAAUACCGGAGAAUGUUAUCACGGGAGACACACGGCGGGUGCUAACGUCCGUCGUGAAGAGGGAAACAACCCAGACCGCCAGCUAAGGUCCCAAAGUCAUGGUUAAGUGGGAAACGAUGUGGGAAGGCCCAGACAGCCAGGAUGUUGGCUUAGAAGCAGCCAUCAUUUAAAGAAAGCGUAAUAGCUCACUGGUCGAGUCGGCCUGCGCGGAAGAUGUAACGGGGCUAAACCAUGCACCGAAGCUGCGGCAGCGACAUUUAGGUGUUGUUGGGUAGGGGAGCGUUCUGUAAGCCUGUGAAGGUGGCCUGUGAGGGUUGCUGGAGGUAUCAGAAGUGCGAAUGCUGACAUAAGUAACGAUAAAGCGGGUGAAAAGCCCGCUCGCCGGAAGACCAAGGGUUCCUGUCCAACGUUAAUCGGGGCAGGGUGAGUCGACCCCUAAGGCGAGGCCGAAAGGCGUAGUCGAUGGGAAACGGGUUAAUAUUCCCGUACUUGGUGUUACUGCGAAGGGGGGACGGAGAAGGCUAUGUUGGCCGGGCGACGGUUGUCCCGGUUUAAGCGUGUAGGUGUGUGUUCCAGGUAAAUCCGGUU
rnacentral:rRNA from 1 species